rnacentral:rRNA from 1 species
UGAGGAAUAUUGGACAAUGGGCGGGAGCCUGAUCCAGCCAUGCCGCGUGCAGGAAGACUGCCCUAUGGGUUGUAAACUGCUUUUAUACGGGAAGAAUAAGUGUUACGUGUAGCACGAUGACGGUACCGUAAGAAUAAGCACCGGCUAACUCCGUGCCAGCAGCCGCGGUAAUACGGAGGGUGCAAGCGUUAUCCGGAAUCAUUGGGUUUAAAGGGUCCGUAGGUGGACUAAUAAGUCAGUGGUGAAAGUCUGCAGCUUAACUGUAGAAUUGCCAUUGAUACUGUUGGUCUUGAAUUGUUGUGAAGUAACUAGAAUAUGUAGUGUAGCGGUGAAAUGCAUAGAUAUUACAUAGAAUACCGAUUGCGAAGGCAGGUUACUAACAAUAUAUUGACACUGAUGGACGAAAGCGUGGGGAGCGAACAGG